rnacentral:guide_RNA from 1 species
CAAUCAACGGAUGAACGAUGUAAGAUAUGAUUGUCAAUU